rnacentral:rRNA from 1 species
GACGACCGCUGGCGGCGUGCUUAACACAUGCAAGUCGAACGGAAAGGCCCUGCUUUUGUGGGGUGCUCGAGUGGCGAACGGGUGAGUAGCACGUGAGUAACCUGCCCUUGACUUUGGGAUAACUUCAGGAAACUGGGGCUAAUACCGGAUAGGAGCUCCUGCUGCAUGGUGGGGGUUGGAAAGUUUCGGCGGUUGGGGAUGGACUCGCGGCUUAUCAGCUUGUUGGUGGGGUAGUGGCUUACCAAGGCUUUGACGGGUAGCCGGCCUGAGAGGGUGACCGGCCACAUUGGGACUGAGAUACGGCCCAGACUCCUACGGGAGGCAGCAGUGGGGAAUAUUGCACAAUGGGCGGAAGCCUGAUGCAGCAACGCCGCGUGCGGGAUGACGGCCUUCGGGUUGUAAACCGCUUUCGCCUGUGACGAAGCGUGAGUGACGGUAAUGGGUAAAGAAGCACCGGCUAACUACGUG